UCCUUGGUGGUCCAGUGGCUAAGACUUUGUGCUCUUAAUGCAGGAGGCCUGGGUUUGAUCCCUGGUCAGGGAA
rnacentral:tRNA from 1 species